rnacentral:snRNA from 1 species
AUACUUACCUGGCAGAGGAGAUACCAUGAUCACGAAGGUGGUUUUCCCAGGGCAAGGCUUAUCCAUUGCACUUCGGAUGUGCUGACCCCUGGGAUUUCCCCAAAUGUGGGAAACUCGACUGCAUAAUUUGUGGUAGUGGGGGACUGCGUUCACACUCUCCCCUU